AUGAAGGAUUUAGGAGUGGCUGAUGUCAUUCUGAACAUCAAGUUGUUGAGAGUUGAUGAUGGUGGGAUUACAUUGCUUCAAUCUCACUACGUGGAAAAGAUCUUGAGUCGCUUUGGCUAUAGUGACUGCAAGCCCUCUCCAACACCAUAUGAUGCUAGCGUGCUGCUUCGAAAGAAUCGAAGAAUUGCUAGAGAUCAAUUAAAGUAUUCUCAGAUUAUUGGCUCGCUUAUGUACUUAGCAAGUGCUACAAGACCUGACAUCUUUUUUGCUGUUAGCAAACUGAGUCAGUUUGUUUCAAAACCAGGAGAUGUGCAUUGGAAAGCUCUAGAGAGAGUUUUGCGUUAUUUGAAAGGCACUGCGAAUUAUGGAAUUCACUACACUGGGCAUCCAAAGGUGCUUGAAGGGUAUAGUGACUCAAACUGGAUCUCAGAUGCUGAUGAGAUAAAGGCCAUAAGCGGUUAUGUAUUCACUCAUGGAGGUGGCGCUGUUUCUUGGAAGUCUUGCAAGCAGACCAUCUUAACGAGGUCAACUAUGGAAGCAAAACUCACAGCACUAGAUACAGCUACGGUCGAAGCAAAUUGGCUUCGCCGACUCUUGAAUGACUUGCCGGUUGUUGAGAAACCUGUACCAGGUGUCCUUAUGAACUGCGACAAUCAAACUGUGAUCACGAAAGUGAGAAGCUCAAAGGAUAACAUGAAGUCAUCAAGACACGUUCAGAGAAGGUUAAAGUCUGUCAGAAAAAUGAAAAACUCCAGAGUUAUUGCAUUGGAUUAUGUGCAAACGUCCAAAAAUCUGGCAGAUCUUUUUACUAAGGGUCUAUCACGUAAUGUGAUAGAUAAUGCAUCAAGGGAGAUGGGUAUGAGACCCACAAUAUGA
rnacentral:rRNA from 1 species